CUUUCUUUCUCACUAUUCAGAUCACUUUCCUCUUAUUACUCCUCCUUUCUAUUCAGUUUAAUUUCAGAACUCCUCCCUCUCUAACGGCGCCGGUGAAGAAACCACCGUAAGAACUCCUCCAUCUCUAACGGCGCCGGUGAAGAAACCACGGUAAGGAACAAGUUAGCUUGCAUUUUACCACAGGAACAAUGUCAAGGGCUCCCAUUCUCAUAAACGAUUUGGUCAAGGGGAACCAGGUCUGGAAAAUGCUGAUUAGGGUUGUUGAUCUUUGGGUUGUUAAUGAGAAAAAUGGCCAUCAACACCUUGAGAUGGUCAUUCAAUAUGUAAAGGCUGAUAAGAUUCAUGUGACAAGUUGGAACCGAGAUUUCAAAGAUUGGUUUGAACAAGUGAAGGAGCAUGAGACUUAUAUUAUGUACAACGGAGAACCCGUGGACAACGAAGGUCCUUUAAAGGUCUGUUCUCAUCCACUCAAGGUUGUCCUCAACGGCGGGACUACGAUGAUCAAGGCGGCGUUACCCGACAUACCAACCCACAAGUUCAUUUUUCAUCCUAUUGAUAACUUUCUCAAAGGGAACUACAAACAUGACCUGUUAUAUGAUGUUAUAGGGGUGUUGCAAGAUGUUGUUAAGACACAAAUGGGCGGUGGUAAUAGGAAAUCUUGCGUCAAUAUUACCUUGCGUGAUGUCGAAGGGAACGUUAUUGAGGUGGCAUUAUGGGAAGCUUAUGGCAAGCAAUUCAUGAACUACACUACCCCGAACAACACUUCUGGACCUACAAUUAUCGUUUUGACCCAUGCCUGGUGCAAGCCAAAUUCUGGUUUCAAUUACUUAGCACUUCUUCUAAUUUGAUGUUUAGAUUUAUAUACUUCCAUGUUUACAUCACUAUUCCAUGUUUCCUGUUAGACUGUCUUCCUUACAAACCUUUGCCCUGUGUUAUAGUUUCCGGUCUUCCGUCUCUUUCGAAUGCAUGGAACGGCUCUAGACUUCUCAUUAACUUGGACCAUCCACAAGUGGCAGAUUUCAAAGCUAGGUACAGCAGGUAGAUUGGUACACAUUCCAGCAUUUUGGGAAAUACUAGAGAAAAGAGUCACUUCUACCUUAAAUGCUUUGUACUUCUUGACACGUUAAACCUUUCCUGUGAGUUUGCCUUGGCACAACAGUCUUGCAACCUCAUUGUUCCGGUUAAACAGGGUCGAUAAUUGAGUUUGGAAUAACUUCAUCAGGUGCAAAUCUAAGUCUGCCUAUACUAUUAAUGUAUGUAUUCUUCUGUAAUAAUGUGCCUUGAAUUUUCAUGAAACCUACUAAACUUACAGUUGCUUGUCAUCUUUUUGCCUUCCUGCGAAUUUGGUUUGCCAGACAGGGCCUAAAUACAGUCAACAUGUAAUUUUAGGGAUGAAACUGAAUAUAAUGGUGUUAUAUCAAACUAUAUUGCAAAUGAAUCAGAAUAUAGCUUAAUCAUAUAUAUCAAUGAUUAAAACUGGACUACAUAGGUUAACAUUUUCAAGUUGGGGAUGCACAUAUAUUCAGCCAAUAAUUUCCUAUCAGUGCUUAACUCAACAGUCAAUGCCAUUUAUUAGAAAAAACCUCAUUGCCAUUGUGUUCAAUAUACAGCAAGAAUAAAUAAGUCAGACAUCUAAAAUUGGUUGAAUUCAAUCAAGCUUCUGUAGUACUUCUACAAAUUAGGUACUGCUCAACAUUUUUAUAGGAGUGCUUCCCUUAUUUAUCAUUGUGAUCAACAUACAACAACAAUAAUGUAUGGCUAAGUAUUAGAAAAAACAUUAUUACCUUCCCUUAAUUAUCACAGUGAGACCCUUAUUUAUCAUGUGAUGCAGCAUGAGACUCAAAUUGAUAAAUGAUCACCAAUUUUUUCUGAUUGUGAGGCCAAAUUUUGUUGAGGAUGUCAUGAUGUCAUGAUGUCAUGAUGAUUUUAAACAUUUACAACCUAUGUACUAAAUGCUGGGAGCUUAGAAACAAUGCCAUCGGGCCAUGUAACAAGUUUUUGGUUUUUUUCUAUGAGAUGCUUCCUAACUGAUGGAUUACAACUAUCUUGGAAUGCAUAAUGGAGACUAUAAUGUACAAACAAUGACUCAUAACGUCUCUACUGUUUUUUAAUAGAACCAGUGUUAAAAAUAGGAUUUCGCUGCCAGCAUCCAUGUGCAAUAUAACAAAAGUACAACUGGGGCCGUAGAAGCUAUAUUUCACUGCCAGCUUCCAUGUGCUAAUGAGAAACAUGGAAAGGGGACUGUAGAUACUAUAGCAUUUUACGUUUUUUAAUUUCUUCAUGACCAAAACUGAUACCCUUGCCUAUCAACCAUUGUAACUAUUGUUAUUAAAAAUGUCAAUGUAAUAUAUAGUUCUCAUUUCUAUCUUGCAUAACAUUAUAUUAUUACCAAUUAUGUCGUAGGUCUAAUGCCGAGCUAAAAGAAAGGACACUCAUUUGGGAUUUUACUAGAGCCAAAUAUAUUCAUAUGGAGGAUAAUACUUCUUCUUUUUCAUGAUUGCAACAAAACUAUCAAUAUAUUCUUUGGCGGAUUAUAUCUUUUCGUUAUAGUCAUAUUCCAUAUGUUAAUUUCAUCCCGAACAACACAACAUCACUAACAAAUAACCCGUGCGGCAGCACGGGUCUCUUACUAGUUCAUAUAAAAAACCUACCUCUCUAAUCUCUCAUUUUCAUCUUCUUUGCUUUUUCUUUCUCUGUUCCUACUGCCAACUAUCUCCCUUUCUCAUUCUCUGGUCAGCAAGAAAGAAGAAAAAUAAAAUCAGGCUAACGUAAGUGGCGCCGUUCCCAACGCUGUUAUACCUUCCAGAGACUCCCCUCUCUUCGCCGGAUACAAUCUCUUUAGCGCCACUGAUACCAAGGUUGGGAAAAACUUUGAUCCCCACGGAUCUGUUCUCAUCUGAUUCCAAACUAACAUCUCUCCUCCGUAAAAUGCCUCAUAAAUCUGCCAAAUCGAAGGAAGCUCCAAUUGAACGACCCAUCCUUGGUCGAUUAUCUUCUCACCUCAAGAUUGGAAUCGUAUGCUUCUUUCCCCUUUUCUCAACAAUCCCAUAAAUUUUCAAUUUUUAUACUAUUCUCUGUACUCUUUUUCAGUUGCAAAAUUGGGCACUUCGUUAAUCAUCUUCAUUCCAUGCAUGAUUUAAGUCUUCUUAAUUUCCACUCACUUAUCAUCUUGGGAUUCAUAGUAAUUGUUUAAUACUUAAUCGCUAAACUACAGUUCUUUACUGAUUUUUUCACACUUAUAAAGUUGAGACAGUAAGAAGAAAAAUGCUUCUUUUAUUGGUUUAUACUACUUAAUUUUGAAUUUAUUUAUCCUUUGAUGUCAAAGAUUAUAUUUUUUUGUUUUCUCUAUAUUUCUAAUUUGAUUUAUAUUUUGCAAUAUUCAUGAAUAUUGCAUGAAAUUAUUAAGAAGGGGGAUGCAGGCCAAAAGUAUAUGUAAGGAUCUAGAAGUAUGGAAAUCGACUACUGAGUUCUUCUUCGUCUUCUCAAACUAGAGCUUUGCAAACUCAUUCAAAACGUUCUAAUAAGCAUUUGCCAUGAAAUAACAUAAAAAACAAGGAUCAUGAGUUCCAUAAGCAAUGCAUGAAAUGUGGAAAGACUAUAUAAUGUUGUUGCUUAAAUCCAUUGGGAAAAAUCCAUUGGCUCAAAGUCUCCUUGGUGCAGAUUUACACAGUGCUAUUAUUUUAGUUAUGGAGUGUAAACUAACUUAAAUUAUUGGAGAUGGUGGCAUUAUGAUUUGUGAGACUGCAGAAACUUUCGGGAAAAUUACUAAAGUUAAUAAAUGUCGAGGAUGAAGUGGAAAUUGAAAUGAGGAGAUUGAAGUUAUAGUUGAAGCAACCAAUGAAUAUAUAUAGGACAACUUGCAAGGAAGCCUUUAUGGUAUAAAUUUUUUCUGAAGAAACACCAUUGCCAUUAGUUGAGAAAGAGAGAUUACAGAGGUUGUAUAUGAUGUUGUUUGUGCUUGAGGUCAUCCAAUAUUAAGACCUGCUACUCAUCUGAACCAAUGUAGUUUCCUUUCACGGUUUAACUAUAAAGUGAAAUUUAUUUACAUGUGAAUAUUAACAAAGCUUCCAUGCUCAAGGCUUUAGGAAAUAUUAAAUUGAUUUAUUAUAUAAUUUACAAUUUUUUAAAUAAAUUAAUUAAUUCAGUUAUGAUUAUUAUAACACUUUAUUUUUAAUGUAAUCUAAAAUAUUUUUAUAAUAUUAUUAAUAUAUACAAAAAUAAAUUCAUUAUUGAUCGUUUAGUAAAACAUGGUAUAUCUUUCAAUUUUUCAUAGUUAAUAUUCCUAAAAAUAUAUGGCAUAAUUUUGCAUAAAAAAUUAAUUUAUAAAUUAUAUAUUGAUAGAGACGUAGCAAAAAGGAAAAAAUAAUUUAG